rnacentral:rRNA from 1 species
GCUAGCAUAUCAAUAAGCGGAGGAAAAGAAACUAACAAGGAUUCCCCUAGUAACUGCGAGUGAAGCGGGAAAAGCUCAAAUUUAAAAUCUGGCGGUCUUUGGCCGUCCGAGUUGUAAUCUAGAGAAGUGCUAUCCGCGCUGGACCGUGUACAAGUCUCCUGGAAUGGAGCGUCAUAGAGGGUGAGAAUCCCGUCUUUGACACGGACUGCCAGGGCUUUGUGAUGUGCUCUCAAAGAGUCGAGUUGUUUGGGAAUGCAGCUCAAAAUGGGUGGUAAAUUCCAUCUAAAGCUAAAUAUUGGCGAGAGACCGAUAGCGAACAAGUACCGUGAGGGAAAGAUGAAAAGAACUUUGGAAAGAGAGUUAAACAGUACGUGAAAUUGCUGAAAGGGAAACGCUUGAAGUCAGUCGCGUUGGCCGGGGAUCAACCUUGCUUUUGCUGGGUGUACUUUCCGGUUGACGGGUCAGCAUCAAUUUUGACCGUUGGAUAAAGUCUGUGGGAAUGUGGCUUCUUCGGAAGUGUUAUAGCCCAUGGUCGCAUACAACGGUUGGGAUUGAGGAACUCAGCACGCCGCAAGGCCGGGUAUUUAUACCACGUUCGUGCUUAGGAUGCUGGCAUAAUGGCUUUAAUCGACCCGUCUUGAAACACGGACCAAGGAGUCUAACAUGCCUGCGAGUGUUUGGGUGGAAAACCCGAGCGCGUAAUGAAAGUGAAAGUUGAGAUCCCUGUCGUGGGGAGCAUCGACGCCCGGACCAGACCUUUUGUGACGGAUCCGCGGUAGAGCAUGUAUGUUGGGACCCGAAAGAUGGUGAACUAUGCCUGAAUAGGGUGAAGCCAGAGGAAACUCUGGUGGAGGCUCGUAGCGAUUCUGACGUGCAAAUCGAUCGUCAAAUUUGGGUAUAGGGGCGAAAGACUAAUCGAACCAUCUAGUAGCUGGUUCCUGCGAUCCUCCUCUCUCUCGUUUUUA